rnacentral:rRNA from 1 species
AGAGAAUAGAUACCCCGGUAGUCCACGCGUAAACGAAUGCUCGCUAGGUGUCAGGCAUGGCGCGACCGUGUCUGGUGCCGCAGGGAAGCCGUGAAGCGAGCCACCUGGGAAGUACGGCCGCAAGGCUGAAACUUAAAGGAAUUGGCGGGGGAGCACAACAACGGGUGGAGCCUGCGGUUUAAUUGGACUCAACGCCGGACAACUCACCGGGGGCGGACAGCAAUAUGUAGGCCAAGCUGAAGACUUUGCCUGAAUCGCUGAGAGGAGGUGCAUGGCCGUCGCCAGUUCGUACUGUGAAGCAUCCUGUUAAGUCAGGCAACGAGCGAGACCCGUGCCCACUGUUACCAGCAUAUUCUCCGGAAUGAUGGGUACUCUGUGGGGACCGCCUAUGUUAAAUAGGAGGAAGGUGCGGGCCACGGUAGGUCAGUAUGCCCCGGAAUCUCCCGGGCUACACGCGGGCUACAAUGGAUGGGACAAUGGGUCCCUACUCCGAAAGGAGCUGGUAAU